GGGGGCAUAGUUCAGUGGUAGAGUAUCUGCUUGGCAUUCAGAAGGUCCCAGGUUCAAUCCUCAGAACCUCCA
rnacentral:tRNA from 1 species